AGUGAACGCUGGCGGUAGGCCUAACACAUGCCAGUCGAACGGCAGCACAGUAAGAGCUUGCUCUUACGGGUGGCGAGUGGCGGACGGGUGAGGAAUACAUCGGAAUCUACUUUUUCGUGGGGGAUAACGUAGGGAAACUUACGCUAAUACUGCAUACGACCUACGGGUGAAAGCAGGGGAUCUUCGGACCUUGCGCGAUUGAAUGAGCCGAUGUCGGAUUAGCUAGUUGGCGGGGUAAAGGCCCACCAAGGCGACGAUCCGUAGCUGGUCUGAGAGGAUGGUCAGCCACACUGGAACUGAGACACGGUCCAGACUCCUACGGGAGGCAGCAGUGGGGAAUAUUGGACAAUGGGCGCAAGCCUGAUCCAGCCAUACCGCGUGGGUGAAGAAGGCCUUCGGGUUGUAAAGCCCUUUUGUUGGGAAAGAAAAGCAGCAGGUUAAUACCCCGCUGUUCUGACGGUACCCAAAGAAUAAGCACCGGCUAACUUCGUG
rnacentral:rRNA from 1 species